GUGCCGGCCGGCACCUGCG
rnacentral:misc_RNA from 1 species